rnacentral:rRNA from 1 species
CGGGGUGCACCAGGCGCGAAAACUUUACAAUGCGGGAAACCGUGAUAAGGGGACACCGAGUGCCAGCAUCAUAUGCUGGCUGUCCAGGUGUGUAAAAUACACCUGUCAGCAAGGGCCGGGCAAGACCGGUGCCAGCCGCCGCGGUAACACCGGCGGCCCGAGUGGUGAUCGUGAUUAUUGGGUCUAAAGGGUCCGUAGCCGGUUUGGUCAGUCCUCCGGGAAAUCUGACGGCUCAACCGUUAGGCUUUCGGGGGAUACUGCCAGGCUUGGAACCGGGAGAGGUAAGAGGUACUACAGGGGUAGGAGUGAAAUCUUGUAAUCCCUGUGAGACCACCUGUGGCGAAGGCGUCUUACCAGAACGGGUUCGACGGUGAGGGACGAAAGCUGGGGGCACGAACCGGAUUAGAUACCCGGGUAGUCCCAGCCGUAAACGAUGCUCGCUAGGUGUCAGGCAUGGCGCGACCGUGUCUGGUGCCGCAGGGAAGCCGUGAAGCGAGCCACCUGGGAAGUACGGCCGCAAGGCUGAAACUUAAAGGAAUUGGCGGGGGAGCACAAGGGCGAAU